GCGGACGUGGCCAAGUGGAUUAAGGCAGUGGUUUGUGGAGCCACUAUGCGCGGGUUCAAUUCCGUUCGUUCA
rnacentral:tRNA from 1 species